rnacentral:rRNA from 1 species
CUAUCGCUUACAGAUGGGCCCGCGGUGCAUUAGCUAGUUGGUAGGGUAAUGGCCUACCAAGGCAACGAUGCAUAGCCGACCUGAGAGGGUGAUCGGCCACACUGGGACUGAGACACGGCCCAGACUCCUACGGGAGGCAGCAGUAGGGAAUCUUCCGCAAUGGACGAAAGUCUGACGGAGCAACGCCGCGUGUAUGAAGAAGGUUUUCGGAUCGUAAAGUACUGUUGUUAGAGAAGAACAAGGAUAAGAGUAACUGCUUGUCCCUUGACGGUAUCUAACCAGAAAGCCACGGCUAACUACGUGCCAGCAGCCGCGGUAAUACGUAGGUGGCAAGCGUUGUCCGGAUUUAUUGGGCGUAAAGCGCGCGCAGGCGGUCUUU